UGUGUGUGUGUGUGUGUGUGUGAGCACACAAUAAAUGUGCCACAUUCUUUCCUUGAUGCUUCCUUUUUGGUGCAUUUCAAUGAAAAUAUACUAAAAGGCUUAAGGUUUGCCCCAGACACUUGGAGAUCUCAAAGCUUUUGCGUGUUUUCAACUUGGUGGGCUGUUUAUCUUAUAAUGAAAUUGUUAACAUGGAGGCGCCUGAAGAUUAUAUACUUCUGUUUUGUCCUAUAGUUCUGUGUGGAGAAGAGUUCUUAAGUGAGCUUUUCUUCAUGAAGUGAAGAUAUGUCAAUUUUGUCAAUAUUUUUAUUUCAGG
rnacentral:misc_RNA from 1 species